CCAGCAGCCGCGGUGAUACGUAGGGAGCAAGCGUUGUUCGGAUUUACUGGGGCGUAAAGGGUGUGUAGUGUGCUUGGUAAGUCCAGUUGUGAAAUCCUUACUGCUCAACAGAAGAAUGGCAAUUGAUACUACCAGGCUAGAGUUCGGUAGAGGAGAGCGGAAUUCUCGGUGUAGCGGUGAAAUGCGUAGAUAUCGAGAAGAACACCAGUGGCGUAGGCGGCUCUCUAGCCCGAUACUGACACUGAAACACGAAAGCGUGGGUAGCGAACGGGAUUAGAUACCCCGGUAGUCCACGCCGUGAACGAUGGGUACUAGGUGCAGGUGGUAUCGAUCCCUUCUGUGCCGAAGCAAACGCGUUAAGUACCCCGCCUGGGGAGUACGGCCGCAAGGCUAAAACUCAAAGGAAUAGACGGGGGCCCGCACAAGCGGUGGAGCAUGUGGUUUAAUACGACGCAACGCGAAGAACCUUACCAGGGCUUGACAUGCUGGUGGUACUGGCUCCGAAAGGAGACAGGACCCUUCGGGGAGCCAACACAGAUGUUGCACGGCUGUCGUCAGCUCGUGUCGUGAGAUGUUGGGUUAAGUCCCGCAACGAGCGCAACCCUUGUCCUUAGUUGCCAGCAGGUAAUGCUGGGGACUCUAAGGAGACUGCCUGUGAUAAGCAGGAGGAAGGUGAGGAUGACGUCAAGUCAUUGUGGCUCUUACGCCCUGGGCUACACACGUGCUACAAUGGUCGAUACAAUGGGUAGCAAUGCCGCGAGGUGGAGCCAAUCCCCAAAAGUCGGCCUCAGUUCGGAUUGGAGUCUGCAACUCGACUCCAUGAAGUCGGAAUCGCUAGUAAUGGCGCAUCAGCUACGGCGCCGUGAAUACGUUCCCGGGCAUUGACUCACCGCCCGUCACAUCACCUGAGUUGAUUGCACCUGAAGUCACUGGUCUAACAUUCGGG
rnacentral:rRNA from 1 species